rnacentral:rRNA from 1 species
UACGGAGGGGGCGAGCGUUAUUCGGAAUUAUUGGGCGUAAAGGGCGCGUAGGCGGCUUGAUGUGUCAAAGGUGAAAUCCCUCGGCUCAACUGAGGAACUGCCUUUGAAACUGUCUGGCUUGAGGCCGGGAGAGGGUAGCGGAAUUCCCAGUGUAGCGGUGAAAUGCGUAGAUACUGGGAGGAACACCGGUGGCGAAGGCGGCUACCUGGACCGGUUCUGACGCUGAGGAGCGAAAGCAUGGGGAGCAAACAGG